rnacentral:rRNA from 1 species
AUUGAACGCUGGCGGCAGGCCUAACACAUGCAAGUCGAGCGAGCGGCGGACGGGGGCGUACUGUAUGGGGACUGCCCGAUAGCGGGGGAUCACUACUGGAAACGGUAGCUAAUACCGCAUACUAUCGGAUAACCCAUAUGGGAUUAGCUAGUAGGUGAGGUAAUGGCUCACCUAGGCGACGAUCCCUAGCUGGACUGAGAGGAUGAUCAGCCACACUGGGACUGAGACACGGCCCAGACUCCUACGGAGGCAGCAGUGGGGAAUAUUCCACAAUUGGCGCAAGCCUGACGCAGCCAUGCCGCGUGUAUGAAGAAGGCCCUAGGGUUGUAAAGUACUUUCAGUCGGGAGGCGUUACCGACAGAGGAAGCACCGGCUAACUCCGUGCCAGCAGCCGCGGUAAUUC